rnacentral:rRNA from 1 species
UACGUAGGGGGCAAGCGUUGUCCGGAAUCAUUGGGCGUAAAGCGCGUGUAGGCGGCUUGGUAAGUCUGCUCUGAAAGCCCGGGGCUCAACCCCGGGAGGCGGGUGGAUACUGUCAAGCUCGAGUCCGGAAGAGGAUCGCGGAAUUCCCGGUGUAGUGGUGAAAUGCGUAGAUAUCGGGAGGAACACCAGUGGCGAAGGCGACUUCUUGGCCUGUUCUUGACGCUGAGGCGCGAAAGCUGGGGGAGCAAACGGG